AGUGAACGCUGGCGGUAGGCCUAACACAUGCAAGUCGAACGGCAGCACAGUAAGAGCUUGCUCUUACGGGUGGCGAGUGGCGGACGGGUGAGGAAUACAUCGGAAUCUACUUUUUCGUGGGGGAUAACGUAGGGAAACUUACGCUAAUACCGCAUACGACCUACGGGUGAAAGCAGGGGAUCUUCGGACCUUGCGCGAUUGAAUGAGCCGAUGUCGGAUUAGCUAGUUGGCGGGGUAAAGGCCCACCAAGGCGACGAUCCGUAGCUGGUCUGAGAGGAUGAUCAGCCACACUGGAACUGAGACACGGUCCAGACGCCUACGGGAGGCAGCAGUGGGGAAUAUUGGACAAUGGGCGCAAGCCUGAUCCAGCCAGACCGCGUGGGUGAAGAAGGCCUUCGGGUUGUAAAGCCCUUUUGUUGGGAAAGAAAAGCAGCAGGUUAAUACCCCGCUGUUCGGACGGUACCCAAAGAAUAAGCACCGGCUAACUGCGG
rnacentral:rRNA from 1 species